rnacentral:rRNA from 1 species
AUACGGAGGGGGCUAGCGUUGUUCGGAAUUACUGGGCGUAAAGCGCGCGUAGGCGGUUUUCCAAGUUGGGGGUGAAAUCCCGGGGCUCAACCCCGGAACUGCCCUCAAAACUGGAUGACUAGAGUCCGGGAGAGGUUGGCGGAAUUCCUAGUGUAGAGGUGAAAUUCGUAGAUAUUAGGAAGAACACCAGUGGCGAAGGCGGCCAACUGGACCGGAACUGACGCUAAGGUGCGAAAGCGUGGGGAGCAAACAGGAUUAGAAACCCCGGUAGUCC